AGGUGCUUAGGAAAAGCGGCCAAAACGGACUUUUAAUCAGUAGGUCUCGGGUUCGAACCCCGACGCGCUCACCA
rnacentral:tRNA from 1 species